rnacentral:sRNA from 2 species
CAAUUGUGAUGUCUUUGGGGAGUAGCCCGCCCGGUCGUUCCAUGCGCCGGGGGCAUGCGUCAACACACUUGGGUUCCUUGCAACCCAUGGCGCAUGCGGUUUUUCAUUCUUUCUUGAAUGAGCUGGGCAAGACCAUUGACUGCAUGCCGAUCCAAUGGCCGGAGUCGGGGUGCAGUCAAUGCGUUCGCACAACAAUC